rnacentral:rRNA from 1 species
UACGUAGGGGGCAAGCGUUGUCCGGAUUUAUUGGGCGUAAAGAGCGUGUAGGCGGCCAGGUAGGUCAGCUGUGAAAACUCGAGGCUCAACCUCGAGACGUCGGUUGAAACCACCUGGCUAGAGUCCGGAAGAGGAGAGUGGAAUUCCUGGUGUAGCGGUGAAAUGCGCAGAUAUCAGGAGGAACACCGAUGGCGAAGGCAGGUCUCUGGGCCACUACUGACGCUGAGAAGCGAAAGCAUGGGGGAGCGAACAGG